rnacentral:rRNA from 1 species
CAUGUGGUUUAAUUCGAAGCAACGCGAAGAACCUUACCAGGCCUUGACAUGCAGAGAACUUUCCAGAGAUGGAUUGGUGCCUUCGGGAACUCUGACACAGGUGCUGCAUGGCUGUCGUCAGCUCGUGUCGUGAGAUGUUGGGUUAAGUCCGUAACGAGCGCAACCCUUGUCCUUAGUUACCAGCACGUUAUGGUGGGCACUCUAAGGAGACUGCCGGUGACAAACCGGAGGAAGGUGGGGAUGACGUCAAGUCAUUAUGGCCCUUACGGCCUGGGCUACACACGUGCUACAAUGGUCGGUACAAAGGGUUGCCAAGCCGCGAGGUGGAGCUAAUCCCAUAAAACCGAUCGUAGUCCGGAUCGCAGUCUGCAACUCGACUGCGUGAAGUCGGAAUCGCUAGUAAUCGUGAAUCAGAAUGUCACGGUGAAUACGUUCCCGGGCCUU